GGGCUUGUGGUCUAGUGGUAUGAUUUUCCCUUAGCACUUCAUCUCCAGUUCCUUCCUUUCAGGAGGGGCAUCAGGGUUGAUUUAUAGCAUGGGAAAGGUCCUGGGUUCAAUUCCCAGCAAGUCCA
rnacentral:tRNA from 1 species